CCAGUCACUCAGCAAGCGCAAGCACUGGAUGGAUUGAAGCAAAUCUGAAAACUGAUCGUUCCCCGAUUUUAAAUUAAAUACUCGUUAAAUAUAAUACAUUUCCGAUAAUUUCAAAGUCAUUCAGCAUCACACACAACGUUGUCGUACAAAGAACAGUCAAUAACUGAAGUGGGAAACAAUUAGUUAAAAAAACAGAGAUUUAAUCGUCAUCGUGUCAAAAAUCAGUGCAUAUCAAAGUGUGAAUAUGCAAGAGUGAAAUUCGCACAACGCAGGCAGGCAUCCAUUCCUGUUAUAGUUGAGGCCUGAGGGGUACAACAAUGCCUGGUGGUUCCGGCGGAAGGCCAGAUAAUGGGCCUUCUAAUCGUUACAACAACUAUCGGCACUCGUCGUCAUCAUCCUAUCACGGCAGGGGUGGAGGUGGACCAGACCGAUAUGGCGGUGGAUCGGGAUAUGACCGACACGGCCAACCAAAUAGUCACAACAAUGGAGGAGGUGGGGGCAGAGGAAAUGUAGAUCGAUACCACCCUCACCGCUCAGCCCCAUAUCCUCCACCUCCCAGAGAAAGAGAUGACAGUGCAAGACGAUAUCGUCCCAGCAGCAGGGAUCCGUAUGGUCAUGAAAAUAGACGCAAUCAUCGGGAUUCUGCAAGUUCGUCCAGCUCUCGUCGUAGUCGAGGAAGGGAAGUCUACUCUGAAGUCUCUUCUGAUAACUUGUCAGAACCGGAAGCGGGAGAGAUCAAUAGUGAUUCUGAGGGGCAUAGAGGGAAGCAAAAGACUGGUGGUGGUGACAGACGGCAAACGUCGACGGGAGGAGAUUCUAAUAAAAAGAGCAGGUCGUAUAGAAAAAGGUCCAGUUCUCGAUCAGUCAGUGAAGGAGAGGUUUCCUCAGAUGAAGCGGCUGCAGGGGAUGAAAAUCGGGGUGAUAAAAAUAGAUUGGACAAUGAUCAUCGACGAGGUAGCAAUACGGAGCGAGAAAGAAGAAUCCCACUUUUAGCCACCCCUGGAAGUCGCCCCAAGCCUUUGCUGUCUUUGGACUUUGGUAGCAAACCGUCUUUGGGACCCUUAGUCGUCGUGCCUUCUACCGCGCAUAGCUCCGAUAACGAAUCAAGUGCAAAGGGAACGCCAACUCAACAACAUGGGGAGGUUGAGGGAGAAGCCAAAGAGGGGUCGUCUCCUGAAGAAACUCCUGAAAACGGAGAUAGAGACUCACUGAAGGCGAGAAAGAGGAGUAGCAAGAAGGGCAAGAAAAAGAUUAAAGAUAAGAAGAAGGACAAAAGGAAGAAGAAGAAGGGUGGGAAAGAUAAGAAGCAUCGGAAGCAACACCGAACAAGUUCUGGCUCUAACUCUUCCAGUGAGUCCGAUGAGGAAGAGGACGAAAACGAGGAUGGGAAUGAUUCCAACAUUUCGGAUUCAACAAAUGCUAAACUACACCAAAAGAAUUUUGAAAGGAAGCCUUCGUCCGAUUUGGGAAGUCCCAUCAGCUCUGAUGCGGAUGACACGGUCACUGGGAAUGUUUCAAAACCUAGUGCAAUGAACAACUUGACUGCCGUUCACUCAGAUGCUGAACCCGUCAGCCCUCCGGGAGCCGAGGCAGAUGCUCCUCUUCCAACAACACCCACAGAUCUUCCUUCUGGUAGCCCAAUCACGCCAAUGUCCAAUGUAUCAGCUCCCGAUUUACUUCACAACACGGAAGCAAUCUCCCCAGAUAGUAGAAGUUCUUCUCGACAAGAGUUUAAUGGAGGAAUGGAAACUGAUUCCAUUCUGCUGUCCCCACAUACGCCGCCCUUGCCACCAAAAGCGUAUGAAAAAUAUAUUCCAUCUGACUUUGGUAAAAGAAAAGCUCAAGAUGACGAUGACGAGCGUCGACAUAGAAGACAGAAAAAGCGGUCCAGGAAAGAGUCGGAAAGUCCAAUGCCACCCAAAGAGAGAAGGCAGCCCGGUCCCCCCAUCUAUCCACCUGCUCCUGCUACUAACGAAAAGGUGCUGACGCCUACAGUUCCAUCCAUGGGGAACAUGGAAGCGACAAGUUUUUUUGCCCAGUUAAGAAGAGGGAAGCAUGGUCCAAUUCCACGAGAGCGGUCGCCCUCACCCGUUCCCGUUAUUGUUCCUUCGGUCACCUCUACUGAUCCAGAAAUAGUAACAAUUGGGGAUGGUAGUGAUGAACAUUCUAAUUCGCGAGGAUCCACAACGAAUGAAACAGACGAUAAUACUGACUCGAAAGUUAACCACUCCAAAAACACGGAUUCGACAUCAACCAACAGUCGCGCAUCCAAAGCUACAGAUACCGAAAAACAAAGCAAGCCUGUGAUAACAAACAAUUCAUCAUCCCUCGGACUUAUGAGUUUACCUUUUCCACCUGGAAUGGAGUCUAUCAACAGACACAGUAACAACAACAACAUUAACAAUAAUAUUACCUCCAGCGGCGGAGUCGCCCUUCCUCCUCACCUCCAACUAUACGACAACUUGCUUGGGGCCAGCGAAGCUUUAAAGAAUUCGAUGAAAAAUCAGAAAGUGAGCAUAACCAAAGAUCUUCCCAUGCCACCGGUUGGUCCUGACGGUCCUGUGGCUGUGAGACGGAAGAUCGUACGACCAAAAAUAAUUGACAAACGCGAAGAGCUCCCUGAUUGGGGAGAUAGAUGCAUAGAUUCCUUCGAAAUGAUCGCCCAAAUCGGCGAGGGGACGUAUGGUCAGGUUUAUAAAGCAAAGGAUUCCAUAUCUGCGACGCUGGUAGCAUUGAAGAAAGUUCGCUUAGAAAACGAGAAGGAAGGUUUUCCCAUCACAGCUGUUCGAGAAAUAAAAAUUCUUCGACAGCUGAAUCACAAAAAUAUUGUGAAUCUGAAGGAAAUUGUAACCGAUAAGCAAGAUGCGCUUGAUUUCCGCAAGGAUCGUGGGAGUUUCUACCUGGUAUUUGAGUACAUGGACCACGAUCUGAUGGGUCUCUUAGAGUCAGGCAUGGUCAGUUUUACCGAGGAGCAUAAUGCGAGCAUAAUGCGUCAACUCCUUGAUGGCCUUUGCUACUGUCACCAAAAGAAUUUCCUUCAUCGUGAUAUUAAAUGCAGCAACAUUCUAAUGAACAACAGGGGACAAAUAAAACUGGCCGAUUUUGGACUCGCCCGUCUGUACUUGGCCAAAGACAAGUCUCGUCCCUACACAAAUAAAGUGAUCACGCUAUGGUACAGACCCCCCGAGCUACUCCUGGGCGAAGAAAGGUACGGCCCAGCAAUCGACGUUUGGAGCUGUGGUUGCAUUCUGGGCGAGUUGUUUCUGAAACGACCCAUGUUUCAAGCCAAUGCAGAAAUUGCACAGUUGGAAAUUAUUGCCAGGCUGUGUGGGACACCAAGUCCGGCUGUUUGGCCCAAUGUUAUUAACCUUCCACUCUGGGCAACAAUUCGUUUUAAACGCAACUAUAAUAGAUGUCUUCGCAAGGAAAUGAGCUGUAUGCCAGGAUCCGCUCUGGAUUUGCUGGACAAAAUGCUGGAAUUAGAUCCGGACAAGCGAAUUUCUGCCGAAGCUGCCCUUGAGAGCAAAUGGUUGAAAAAUGUUGUGCCGGAAGAGAUGGAGCCUCCCAACCUUCCCACCUGGCAAGAUUGUCAUGAGCUUUGGUCAAAGAAACAACGUCGAAUAAAACGAGAAGCUGCUCAGGCUGGUCCGCCACCACCUUCAUCUGGUCAAUCGGGACUCGUUUCUGGAAAGUUUUCAGAUCAGAAUAAUUCGGGGAUUUCGACAUCUGCUCCUCAUCCUCAUGAAAUAUCCACUAAUGAUUUUAUUCCUUAGCCAAGCAUGAUCUUUUGUAUAACAGCUCUUCACCCUCUUGUUAUGAAAUAGGUAGUAGUGUAUUACAUACGGUUUAUCAAUUUUAAAGCUCUAGAACAAUUAUUCUUGUGUGUGCGCCCCAAUUAUGUGUAUAAAAUUGUCACCCGCUCCACAAUUUAUGUCCUGAAUGAAAGAUCGAACCACGUCGCAAAUUCAGAGAGUUGUUGGACAAGACAAACAAAUCACCGCAUCGUCAUCAUCAACAUCACACGAAGACCUUUUUUGUAUCUCUCGCUGCUAUCCCUCUGUCUUGGCUGGACACUAAUGGAGUUCCUCAUCGGCUUUCUUCUGAAGAUCUAACGCGAAACACUAGUUCGUCUUCACGGUGCCCGAUGGAUGCCACAGCGUAUUAAUGAUGCGAAAUAUAAAGAGAUGAAAGGGGGUCCUCCCCACCCACUUCCUUCUUCUCGUGCUAAUCUAUCAAGAAAUCUUCCUUUGCAACAAAAUGAGUGAUUUUCUUUUCUGUUCUUUCUGGAAUUGUGGAUACAAAAAAAUGAGUAGUUAAUUGAGUUUGGUGAUGAUCUGCGAUGAUGAUGAGACGGAGAAAGCCGGUGGUUGUCAAACUGACGAAUACAGAAUACAACUAAGAUUUCCUAAAGACUGGAUCACUCAUUAGCAGAGAUCCGUGAUUAAUGAAUUUUUUUGUGGGAUUAAGGAUUAAUGUUAUUCCGGGAUUAGAUUAACUGAAUAUGAAACAAAAUGAAAACUCACGCGCUAAAACAUAGACUGUUAUAAAAUUAGUCCAGAUCGUAUGAAAUUUAUGAAAUAGCAAUUAUUUAUUUGUAUACCUUGUUUGUAGUUGCAUUUGGCAAUUGCAUUGCCUUGUUGUACUGACUGUACUGUGAUAUAUAUGUAUAAGUAUAAGAUUUAGUGACUUUCUGAAAUUGUCUCUUUAUUAAGAAAUACUCAUGUGGAAAUCUUCGUACCUUAAUUAUUAGUUUCCGAACUGACUGUGAUAACUAAAUAGUGAUUAAUUCUCCGUUUUAUCCCUCGUGACCAGUACAAAAUAUGUUAGAAUUUUUAUAUAUUUCUAUUUUUAUAUAUUCACCAAUACUGAUCAAUUUAUUAUGAAUAAUAACUUUCAACAAAUAAAUUCAGCAUUACGAAACA